rnacentral:rRNA from 1 species
ACGAACGCUGGCGGCGUGCCUAAUACAUGCAAGUCGAACGCUUCUUUUUCCACCGGAGCUUGCUCCACCGGAAAAAGAGGAGUGGCGAACGGGUGAGUAACACGUGGGUAACCUGCCCAUCAGAAGGGGAUAACACUUGGAAACAGGUGCUAAUACCGUAUAACAAUCGAAACCGCAUGGUUUUGAUUUGAAAGGCGCUUUCGGGUGUCGCUGAUGGAUGGACCCGCGGUGCAUUAGCUAGUUGGUGAGGUAACGGCUCACCAAGGCGACGAUGCAUAGCCGACCUGAGAGGGUGAUCGGCCACAUUGGGACUGAGACACGGCCCAAACUCCUACGGGAGGCAGCAGUAGGGAAUCUUCGGCAAUGGACGAAAGUCUGACCGAGCAACGCCGCGUGAGUGAAGAAGGUUUUCGGAUCGUAAAACUCUGUUGUUAGAGAAGAACAAGGAUGAGAGUAACUGUUCAUCCCUUGACGGUAUCUAACCAGAAAGCCACGGCUAACUACGUGCCAGCAGCCGCGGUAAUACGUAGGUGGCAAGCGUUGUCCGGAUUUAUUGGGCGUAAAGCGAGCGCAGGCGGUUUCUUAAGUCUGAUGUGAAAGCCCCCGGCUCAACCGGGGAGGGUCAUUGGAAACUGGGAGACUUGAGUGCAGAAGAGGAGAGUGGAAUUCCAUGUGUAGCGGUGAAAUGCGUAGAUAUAUGGAGGAACACCAGUGGCGAAGGCGGCUCUCUGGUCUGUAACUGACGCUGAGGCUCGAAAGCGUGGGGAGCAAACAGGAUUAGAUACCCUGGUAGUCCACGCCGUAAACGAUGAGUGCUAAGUGUUGGAGGGUUUCCGCCCAUCAGUGCUGCAGGUUACGCAUUAAGCACUCCGCCUGGGGAGUACGACCGCAAGGUUGAAACUCAAAGGAAUUGACGGGGGCCCGCACAAGCGGUGGAGCAUGUGGUUUAAUUCGAAGCAACGCGAAGAACCUUACCAGGUCUUGACAUCCACUUAAACUUACAGAGAUGUAAGGUGUGCUUGCACAAAGUGAGACAGGUGGUGCAUGGUUGUCGUCAGCUCGUGUCGUGAGAUGUUGGGUUAAGUCCCGCAACGAGCGCAACCCUUAUUGUUAGUUGCCAUCAUUUAGUUGGGCACUCUAGCAAGACUGCCGGUGACAAACCGGAGGAAGGUGGGGAUGACGUCAAAUCAUCAUGCCCCUUAUGACCUGGGCUACACACGUGCUACAAUGGGAAGUACAACGAGUCGCAAAGUCGCGAGGCUAAGCUAAUCUCUUAAAGCUUCUCUCAGUUCGGAUUGUAGGCUGCAACUCGCCUACAUGAAGCCGGAAUCGCUAGUAAUCGCGGAUCAGCACGCCGCGGUGAAUACGUUCCCGGGCCUUGUACACACCGCCCGUCACACCACGAGAGUUUGUAACACCCGAAGUCGGUGAGGUAACCUUUUGGAGCCAGCCGCCUAAGGUGGGAUAGAUGAUUGGGGUG